GACGAACGCUGGCGGCGUGCUUAACACAUGCAAGUCGAGCGGUAAGGCCCUUUCGGGGGUACGACGAGCGGCGAACGGGUAGGAGUAACAACGUGGGUGGACCUCGCCCUCCAGCUCUGGGAGUAAGACCUCGGGAAACGUAGGGUCGUAAUAACUGGAGUAUGACUCCACGGUGCAUGUCGUGGGGUGGGAAAGACCUUGUGCGGCU
rnacentral:rRNA from 1 species